ACAACAUGUAUGGAUUACAAAUCAUCUGACAUAUUUGUUGAAGUUAUCCAGGUUAAAAAGAUAACUUUUAUCGAGCAUUCAACAUGGUUCUUCGAAACAUAUAUAUUCACAGCAAUUCGCACAAGUACGAAUAUACUUAUUUACUUCAGUAUUACCAUAUAAAGGGCAUGAAAUAUUAUGCGUGCAAUACCCCACCUCCAAAUCAUUACUUUCUUGCAUAUAUAAGCACAGAUAUGGGAGGUGGUGGAAGCCUGAUAGGUCAAAAUACUUUCGCCAGUCACGUGCACACACAUAAAAACACAGAUGUUUCACCCGCGUUAGCGUCAGCACGAUAAUUCAGAAACUAUCCGAGUAAAAAACUAUCGAUAUUUUAUGGCUAUACAAAACACUAACCGGACUGACUUGAUCAAAAUAAAGUGAAAACAACAUAAUUGGUUAUGACUAAUAUUGCCAAAACAAUAGAGAUGCAGAAUCUUC